UUAACACAUGCAAGUCGAGGGGCAGCAUGGUCUUAGCUUGCUAAGGCCGAUGGCGACCGGCGCACGGGUGAGUAACACGUAUCCAACCUGCCGUCUACUCUUGGACAGCCUUCUGAAAGGAAGAUUAAUACAAGAUGGCAUCAUGAGUCCACAUGUUCACAUGAUUAAAGGUAUUCCGGUAGACGAUGGGGAUGCGUUCCAUUAGAUAGUAGGCGGGGUAACGGCCCACCUAGUCUUCGAUGGAUAGGGGUUCUGAGAGGAAGGUCCCCCACAUUGGAACUGAGACACGGUCCAAACUCCUACGGGAGGCAGCAGUGAGGAAUAUUGGUCAAUGGGCGAGAGCCUGAACCAGCCAAGUAGCGUGAAGGAUGACUGCCCUAUGGGUUGUAAACUUCUUUUAUAAAGGAAUAAAGUCGGGUAUGCAUACCCGUUUGCAUGUACUUUAUGAAUAAGGAUCGGCUAACUCCGUGCCAGCAGCCGCGGUAAUACGGAGGAUCCGAGCGUUAUCCGGAUUUAUUGGGUUUAAAGGGAGCGUAGAUGGAUGUUUAAGUCAGUUGUGAAAGUUUGCGGCUCAACCGUAAAAUUGCAGUUGAUACUGGAUAUCUUGAGUGCAGUUGAGGCAGGCGGAAUUCGUGGUGUAGCGGUGAAAUGCUUAGAUAUCACGAAGAACUCCGAUUGCGAAGGCAGCCUGCUAAGCUGCAACUGACAUUGAGGCUCGAAAGUGUGGGUAUCAAACAGGAUUAGAUACCCUGGUAGUCCACACGGUAAACGAUGAAUACUCGCUGUUUGCGAUAUACUGCAAGCGGCCAAGCGAAAGCGUUAAGUAUUCCACCUGGGGAGUACGCCGGCAACGGUGAAACUCAAAGGAAUUGACGGGGGCCCGCACAAGCGGAGGAACAUGUGGUUUAAUUCGAUGAUACGCGAGGAACCUUACCCGGGCUUAAAUUGCAGAUGAAUUACGGUGAAAGCCGUAAGCCGCAAGGCAUCUGUGAAGGUGCUGCAUGGUUGUUGUCAGCUCGUGCCGUGAGGUGUCGGCUUAAGUGCCAUAACGAGCGCAACCCUUGUUGUCAGUUACUAACAGGUUCUGCUGAGGACUCUGACAAGACUGCCGUCGUAAGAUGUGAGGAAGGUGGGGAUGACGUCAAAUCAGCACGGCCCUUACGUCCGGGGCUACACACGUGUUACAAUGGGGGGUACAGAAGGCAGCUACACGGCGACGUGAUGCUAAUCCCUAAAGCCUCUCUCAGUUCGGAUUGGAGUCUGCAACCCGACUCCAUGAAGCUGGAUUCGCUAGUAAUCGCGCAUCAGCCACGGCGCGGUGAAUACGUUCCCGGGCCUUGUACACACCGCCCGUCAAGCCAUGAAAGCCGGGGGUACCUGAAGUGCGUAACCGCAAGGAGCGCCCUAGGGUAAAACUGGUGAUUGGGGCUAAGU
rnacentral:rRNA from 1 species